AAAUUGCCCAUACUAGUUUCUAACUCACAAUCCUCUUCAUGCUGCCUGGAAUUCUAGGCAGGAGACACCGCAUCUUCCUAACAUUCUCUUCUGAAAGAGAAGCUAGGAGGAAACAUUUUACCAACACCUCCGCCAAGACUGGGAGGCCUCGGUUCCUGUCAUCUCAUGGAGACUCAAUUGCCUUCUGAGGCAGUGAGAACCGCUCCUGGGCCCAUCUUAUGAAACUAUAACUGAGACCCCCUGGGCUCUGACUGAACACUGUACACUGUCCCACUUACACUAAGUGUGAUAUCCACAGUAGCACAAGCGUGACAAUGUCCGGCAGACCUGGGAGCUACUUCCAAGAUUUGUUCGUAUCUACAAAUGUUCAUAUUGUGAGAUCCAUUCGUAUGUUCAAGUUCACAAUUUGAAAGUUCCAAAGUCAGGGAUUUACUGUACCUUAUACUAUAACAGUUUUCAGAGUCAGUUUUCCUAAAGAAAGUGCUGAUCACCUUUUCUCAUUAAUGAGUUUUGAAAAUAAACAGUUCCUAAUGUCUUGAAACUAAGCAUGACAUCAUGCGGUUUCAGGCAGCACCCACCUGAUGUCUGAUAUCUUAUUCCUACACUUUCCCUGGUUGUGGAUGCUCAGUAGCACAUCUGUAGACUUUACUUAUUUUGGUGCUCUACUGUCUCAGCACUUUCUUUCACUGAAGGCUUCCUUUGAUCCAUGGCAUACAGCACUUUUGAAAACCAAGUCUUAUUAUGGUCAUUGCUACCUUUAUGGGAAAACAAGGGUUUAUUUCGUCUUAAUCCCUGCUCAUUUUUUUUUUCUCAUGUUUUUGUGAGAAAAUGAAAAAUAAGUUCCCUUGUUAGCUAAGUAUGUGUUUAUAUUAGGCUAUGAUAUAGAGCCCUUUUUAGCAAGAUAAUAGCAUUAACAUACUUUAAAAGGUAAAAGAGUCAAAUGUCUUCAUACUUGCUUUUCAAAAUUUUAUAAUUAUUAACUAAAAGUACAUGCACACACACACA